rnacentral:rRNA from 1 species
GCCAGCAGCCAUAUCACUUUGCAACUCACAACUGGUAACCCACUGAAACUAAGCAGGUGUGAGCCUGGUCAGUACCUGGAUGUGAGACCUCCUGGGAAAGCUAAGGCUGCUGCUGGAA